rnacentral:tRNA from 1 species
UUUUCCGUAGUGUAGUGGUUAUCACGUUUGCUUUACAUGCAAAAGGUCCCCUGUUCGAAACUGGGUGGAAACA